CCUACGGGAGGCAGCAGUCGAGAAUAAUUCACAAUGGGGGCAACCCUGAUGGUGCAACGCCGCGUGGAGGAUGACGGUCUUCGGAUUGUAAACUCCUGUCAUCCGGGAGUAAGACCUGGCUGUGAAUAGCAGACAGGGUUGAUAGUACCGGAAGAGGAAGGGACGGCUAACUUCGUGCCAGCAGCCGCGGUAAU
rnacentral:rRNA from 1 species